ensembl:lncRNA
GGACAGUUGUGCAGGUUGGACUUUGUACGAGCUUGUCUGGCAGGGAUACAUGGGAUUAAUAUCCAGCCCAGACCUUGCAGGCAAAGAGAUAUCCAGGCCCUUCAGCUGAUGCACACAGGAUGGCGCCCUGGCCUUCACUGCUCCUGUUCUGCUCUUUGGGCCCAGUUCUGACUUGACUGUGACAAUCUGAAAAGGUAGAACUCGCUCUUACCCUGCAUUCCAACUCCACCCGCAGCACAGAAGUGCAAUGUUACCUUAGUUAUGCGACACACUGUACUCCUAGUAACACGACCGAAGCUCACGUCAGCUCUGCUGGCAACACCACAGCACUUCGACCCUCUCGUGUCCCACUUCCCUGUCUCCGGUCCUUUCCUCCACAUGCACUGGUUUCUCAAGGCCACUCCAAGUGGCCUUGCCCUGGGACUCCUGAAGGGUCCCCCAGCAGCUACUUUGGUGGCCUUAGGCUUGGGCCGGUCCACUCCCAGUGUCAGACUCCAAAGCCCCCCGAAGACCACUGGGCCCAGGAGGAAGCUGGGAAAUGCCUUGAUCCCUCCAGAGAGCUGCAGCCAGAGGACUUCACAGAGCCAGCUCCGCCCACAAGGCCUGGACGUGGCCCUCCCUGAGCCCUGCAACAGGGUGCUGCAGUAGUGUUGGAAGCCACGUUUAGUUCACACUGUGAACCAGUGGUUCGUAGUUCAGGUUUUGGAAACAGAUGGUCUGGAUUCAAAGCCAUUCACCAGCUUUGUGACUUCAGGCCAAGCUUCCCCCUCUGUUUCCCCCUGAGAGACUGGUAACAGCAUUCAGGUCAUUGUGAUGACCAAUGAUGGAAAGAGAAGAGAGGAAAGACAGCGGAUGGCCCCAGUGCCUUGCCACAGGGAGUUUUAGCCCCAGGGUGGCUUGUUCCAGCCUGUGUCCUCCCAGACAAGCAUUUUUCUGGCAAGUGUUCACCAGAGAUGUGGGGCAGCUGGGUGCCGCCAUGGAGAGGACACACACUCGUGGCAGCCUGAGCCCAGGUGCUUGUUCUGCCCAGGACUUUGCUCUGCGUCUGCACCAUGGCUGGGGCCUCUCCAUUGUUCUUCCGCACCCCUAACUCACACAUUGCCUCCUGGGCCAUCUCUGAGUGUGCAGCUGCUCAGAUAACCCUCAGUAUGACAUUGAGCAAAUCCCAUAACUCAUCAAACAGACAAUGCUGCCUGCCAGGCCAGGCUCUCGCACUAGCUCAACCGAUAACUAGGGCCCAGCAGAGGUGGAUGCUCCAGAGCUGCCCUGCCCACCAACACAGUACUGCUCUGUGCCAACCCUGGGCUGCGCACAGGGCAUCAAAAGAUUUUAAAAGCUGUACUUCCUGUAAGGUGUUUCAAGUUUAAUAGAAGAAAUUAGCUUUUUUUCCUUUCUUUUUUUUUGGUACCAGGAAUCAAACUCAGAUACCUGCACUUGCCAGGCAGGCACGGUGCCACUGAGCUAAAUUCCUGGCUGACAAGAGGGGAAAUAAACUUCUGAGCCUCUACCCUGACAGACAAUGCUAAGGACUGUGAUGGAAUAGUGUCUAAAGGAAUAUGCGACACCAGGAAGUACUCAGUCACUUCCCCAGUUUGCCUCAGUUUCCUCAUCCAUCAAAUGAGGGAAAUUAGUUGCUUCCUGUCACGAGAUGAUUCCGGUGAGCUUGGUGGAAGUUUCAGUUCUCUGCCAGUCUUCCAUUUCCUUACCUGCCUUCCUGCACAUAUGUUCCACCUCCAGCUCCACCCAGCAAGGAGGAAGAGCAGGAUACAAGGCCUUGCACGGUGCUUGCACACACCACUUCUGCCAGCAUCCCAAGGACAAGAACUCAGGUCCACAGCAGCAUCUGGCUGCAGUGGAGGCCAAGCACUGCCCACUUCGUUUCCAGCAGCCAUGCGCGCAGCAGAAAAUCGGAGGUGUUUCCAUUAAGAGGCCACAGUUUGUGAAAGAUGAAGAAAGAAAGAAAGAAAGAAAGAAAGAAAGAAAGAAAGAAGGAAGGAAGAGAGAAAGUGGACUGAGUACCAGUGGUGUCCUCAGCACUCUGCUAGGCACAGUUGCAUGGGUUACCACUUUUACAGUCAACACAGCAGGGAAGAGCUGCAUCUGCCCGAGUCGCCAGCACCAUCUUCAGUGACGUCAUCACGUAACAGCAAGGAUGUCUCCUAAAGAGAGAAGGCCCACCAGUGGAGCUCCGUAAGCAGACUCCAGAUAACAGCAAUGGGGAACCAGCAUGGAGUGGUCAUCAGGCAUUGUCACCCACAGUUCUAUCCAAACCUGGGACUCGAUGUGUCCAAAUCAUACCAUUCUAGAACUGUACAGCAGCCUUCCCCUCAUCAAAAUGUCAGCACAUGUAGCACAUUAUGCCAGCAGGAAUGACAGCAUGCAAUUAUGCUGAGGUCAGACUGCCAUGAACGAAAUUGGGCUCCAUUACUACCAAUCAUACUAUAUGCCUAUUUCCUCAUCUGUAAGGUAGGAGUAGCAAUAGAUGUACUCAUUCUAAAAUCCAGUUACAGUGUUUCAAUACCAUCUGGACCAUAGUAAGUGCUCAUUAAAUGUUAGCAUUUAUUCAGUUCAAUCAACUCUUACAUACUGUGCCACCCGGGACCCAUGCGUAUCUGUUUGGCCCACUCUCACACACAAAAUCAGACUAAUUCCAUCUAGAAAGAGUGGGCUUAGGCCUUGGAGACUGAGCUACUCUAAUGGGGGUACAGCAGCACCAGCCAAACUGGCCCCCUUUCUGCUCCAUGAGUUGGCCCGUCCACCUUGGCCAAUGUGCAAAAAUGUUUGUGGCGAACUCAUUUGUUUUCCUUUCUGUUAGGUCGGCCUUCCAAAGGCAAAGAACUGCUGAAAUUAACCCAAGGCAGGGGCCAGUGGAGCAGACGGGGUCUGGGCUAGAGCCAGGCGUAAUGAAGUGGAAAAUGUUCACACCACAGGCAGCAUUACAAUGCACCUGUACAAACAGAACUCAGCCUGCCAUCCCUUCCUUCGGGGCCCAGCUGCCUCUCGGACUACUCUUUUAUGGCUUCACUCCUGGCCAUGCCUGGUCAACGUCAAGGUCUCUAAUGAAGAUAAGAGACAAAGGCCUCCAGAGAAGAGCUGGUAGAGAUGGAACAGAAGAGACGAAAAUGAGCAAAGGUACGCUCAGCACAGACAUCUCCUGAAAGUUCUGGGGAGUUCUCUGAAGACCAUGUUACCUAAAACAGGGAAGAACUACAGCACAGCUCAUGAAGAUUGAAGUUACGUGGCAAGAUUGAGGUAGAAAACUUUCACAUUGCUUGGCUCACUUCCCACACCCAUAUGAUCAGGCUCCAUUCUGCAGACAAGGAAACUGAGGCCCAGGGAGACAAAGCCAGCAGGUGACCAUGUCAAGAUUCAAGCCCAGGAACCAUGAUUUGUCUUCUGUACUCAGACCAGUGUUGAGUGAUGUUCUCAAAGCCACGCAGCUAUCAAGUGGGAAGCUGGAAGUCCUGGUGUGGUGGUUACUGCUCCACUAGGCAGCAGGAAGAGAACUUGGGGACAUCAAGGCCAGGCUGUCCUGAAGACUAGGCCAGUGAAGACAAGGGGCCUGGGUUUCCCCAGAGCAAGGCCUGUGGACCACAGUGCUACCAUGAGGGAAGAUGGGGAAAAGACAAACCAUAGUUCUUGACAUAGUGUGGCUCUACGUCUCCCAAUUUCACAAGGGCUCAGUUUGUCCCUCCCUGAGAUGGACCUUCCAUGGGCACUAAAUAGAAGGACUUUGUAAGGCACUUCCAAGGUCUAUUGCUCUUCACUCCUCUCAGACUCAACCUUAAGUCACACCCAACUCUAAUUGUCAUAACCAGAAGCUUUCUUACCACCAUGGGGGGCGGAGGGACAAAGGUCAAAAGUAGACAUCAUUACAACUGCCACAUACCUGGCCCUCACCUCUCAUUGCCAUCUUCUUAAACAUCAGUGGUUAGGGGCAUAAAGAGAGGGAAUGGAGAUAGUUACUCCCCACAGGGAGUCUGACAUAUAGCAGGCCCUCAGUGAUCACUAACACCUUUGACAAGCUAUGGGUUCUUUGCAGAUCAGAACCUGCUGCUUUAUAGCAUCCAAUCAUAGUGUCAUGCAGCCUGCAGUAACUGCCUAGUGAAUGCCUGUCUGUUGAGUGCAGGAGCUUUUCCGUCGCUCCCAUCCUCCUGGUUUAGGCAACAUCCAGGACUGUGUUUGGGCCUUUCUAAAUGCCCUGGGGCCAGUUUGACGCACAUCUCCCGGGGUGCCUCAUGGCUUCUCAGAGUUCAACCUCACCUAAUUCAAACUUAGCAGUAAGCUAUGUUUGCCAUUCUUCAUGGUUGAUGUUUAUAUGGCUGCUCUGAACUUUUAUAAUUAUUACUGUUUAAUUUAAAAAGAAGUUUAAAUUUUGCAAUGUACAAAAAAGUCAAGAUUGCCAUGUUUUGGUAAAAUGCUUCAUUCUUCAGUUUUCCCCAUUCGAUACACUUUCUCUGGUCCCUAUGUGGUAGGCAGCAUAAGGACCUCACUGUCCCUGGAGAAACAGACAUUGAAAUAAGCACAUUUAAUACAUUAUGAUUCCUGAAAUACUGAAAACUGCAGAGAGAAACUAGUUACAAGUGUGGAGAGUUAGCCUCCAUUUUGUCUUGAAAAGUGUUUAUCUAAGCCGGUAAUGCCAUAUACCAUAUGGCCCUAACUGCAUCAAGUGGCCUCCAUCUUCAGGGCUGAGGAGGUCCAAAGACAUGGCCUGUUUUCUUCCUGCAUCUUGAGGGAAUAAACAGAUGAGUACAGUUUAGGGCAAGAUUUCCCAAGUCAAUUCUACUACCUUAUGGGCAGGGCCAUGUUGGAAUAAGUCAAGGUUCUAGUAGAAAAUUAACGCCAGAAGAUCAGGAGGAUACCACAGGAUGAAAGAAAAGAAUCUCUCUCUCUCUCUCUCUCUCUCUCUCUCUCUCUCUCUCUGCAGAUUUCCCUCAUCUUUGUGAUUCUUACUGAAACCUGGAAGUAACUCUUUCAAGAAAGAGUUUAAGUGAUUUCAAGAGCACCCAGCCAGGGCAGGUGUUUCCCGUGGCUAGGAGGACACUCCUACUCCUUCAUGCUCCUGCUUGAGCAUCCCUUCUCUAAUUUACUGUGAGGCUCUUGACCACAGUAGCACUUCCUAUGACCAUCCUCUAGUGGCAGCAAGUUUCACAAGACAUAUGAUAUGUCGUCUUCAACCUUAUAGUUCUAGUAGGCGAGUGUCCUGACCAGCCCAAAGUAAGUGCUUCAUAAGUAUUUGUCAUCUGAAUAGAUGACUGAGUGGAUGAAUAAUGCCACGUUCAUUUACAAGCGCACUGUGGUUUUAUCUUUCUCGGAAAUAUUAUAACCCACUUGCUCCUAAACAGAUUUUUCAAAAUCACAUUCUAUGAAAUGUUACCAAUUCAUGAGAUAAUUUUACUGAACUAAUAAAAAGUUAAAAAAUAAGAAAUAGGGAUUCUUUUUGUUUUCAAACAAAAUUUAUCACAUAUACAUAAGAAGAGUUCAUUACCGUCACAGUG